rnacentral:rRNA from 1 species
UCAGUCGACUCCUACGGGGAGGCAGCAUGGGGGAAUAUUGCACAAUGGGGGAAACCCUGAUGCAGCCAUGCCGCGUGUGUGAAGAAGGCCUUCGGGUUGUAAAGCACUUUCAGUAGGGAGGAAGGUAGUGUAGUUAACACCUGCAUUAUUUGACGUUACCUACAGAAGAAGCACCGGCUAACUCCGUGCCAGCAGCCGCGGUAAUACGGAGGGUGCGAGCGUUAAUCGGAAUUACUGGGCGUAAAGCGCAUGCAGGUGGUUUGUUAAGUCAGAUGUGAAAGCCCGGGGCUCAACCUCGGAAUUGCAUUUGAAACUGGCAGGCUAGAGUCUUGUAGAGGGGGGUAGGAAUUUCAGGUGUAGCGGUGAAAUGCGUAGAGAUCUGAAGGAAUACCAGUGGCGAAGGCGGCCCCCUGGACAAAGACUGACGCUCAGAUGCGAAAGCGUGGGGAGCAAACAGGAUUAGAUACCCUGGUAG